GUUGACCUCGGAUCAGGUAGGAAUACCCGCUGAACUUAAGCAUAUCAAUAAGUGGAGGAAU
rnacentral:rRNA from 1 species